rnacentral:lncRNA from 1 species
GCAUGUUUGGGUUUGGCGGAUUUCGAAGAUAGGAGGAAUUGCUUGCCAGGGAGGCCGGAGCAGAGGUCCGCCGGGCAAUGUAACUCGUUUUUGUCCCGACCUGUUGAUUGUAGCUCUUUCAGGUGUUCUCCUUUUGUUCCUUCUUUACCUACUCCCCCACCACCCUCACCACCGGUGUUCCCCUCUCCACCCCCGACACCGGUUUACUCACCUCCACCGGUGUUCUCGCCUCCGCCACCGGUGCUCUCUUCCCCACCACCACCAUCACCGCCACCGCCAUCUCCUUCGCCUCCACCACCUCCAGUUUACUCCCCUCCUCCACCUCCACCAGUUUACUCACCUCCACCACCCCCUCCUCCCCCACCGCCACCACCACCUGUUUAUUUUCCGCCACCACCUCCACCUUCACCACCACCACCGUCUCCCCCUCCACCCUCACCCCCACCACCUUCUCCAUCACCGCCUCCCCCUCCCUCGCCACCACCACCGGUAUUAUCGCCCCCGCCUCCAGUUUAUUGCGUCCGUUCCCCACCACCGCCACCGCCAAAUUCUCCCCCGCCUCCCAUUUAUUCUCCACCACCACCUCCAGUUCAUUCACCGCCCCCACCAAGUCCUUACUAUAGUUCACCACCGCCCCCGCCGCCACAUCAUUCACCUCCACCACCUCCCCACUCGCCACCCCCGCCUCCACCUAUCUAUCCAUACGCAUCACCGCCACCGCCACCCGUGCAUUCCCCACCACCACCUGUCCAUUCUCCACCACCUCCAUGCAUAGAACCGCCUCCUCCUUCUCCACCACCCCCAUCACCACCUCCAUGCAUAGAACCGCCUCCUCCUCCUUCUCCACCACCAUGUGUAGAAUAUUCGCCACCUCCACCAUCACCACACUCACCACCGCCACCACCAGUUCAUUACUUGCCUCCACCAUCACCAUCACCCCCACCACCACCUGUGUAUGCUUCUCCGCCACCUCCACCAUCUCUGCCUCCCCCAGUUUACUACCAUUCUCCGCCCCCACCCUCACCACCUCCUCCAACCCCAUGUGAAAAUCCUCCACCUACUCCAUCACCACCGCCCCCAAUCAUUUAUGAGAGCCCACCACCUCCAACCCCUGUAUAUGAGGGGCCAUUGCCACCAAUCUUUGGAGUUUCAUACGCUUCUCCACCGCCACCACCCUUCUAUUGAUUCUUUUGAGAAUUUUCCUCCUCUUGACAUUUCCUCAAAGAAACAAAAUUUACAAUUAUAUUAGUGGUCAUGGCCUCUUUUCCCUGUUCUCCAUCAAAACUUCUUCCUCUUUGGGCAAUUCUCGUCGCCGGGUGAGGACUAAUAAGAAGAUUCAAAAUGUCAUAGAG